GCCCAGGUGGCGGAAUUGGUAGACGCGCUCGUUUCAGGGGCGAGUAUUGGUAACGAUGUGCAGGUUCGACUCCUGUCCUGGGCAC
rnacentral:tRNA from 1 species